rnacentral:rRNA from 1 species
CCUACGGGAGGCAGCAGUGAGGAAUAUUGGUCAAUGGACGAGAGUCUGAACCAGCCAAGUAGCGUGAAGGAUGACUGCCCUAUGGGUUGUAAACUUCUUUUAUAAAGGAAUAAAACGAGGCACGUGUGCCUUUUUGCAUGUACUUUAUGAAUAAGGAUCGGCUAACUCCGUGCCAGCAGCCGCGGUAAUCCGGAGGAUCCGAGCGUUAUCCGGAUGUAUUGGGUUUAAAGGGAGCGUAGAUGGGUUGUUAAGUCAGUUGUGAAAGUUUGCGGCUCAACCGUAAAAUUGCAAUUGAUACUGGCAGUCUUGAGUACAGUUGAGGUAGGCGGAAUUCGUGGUGUAGCGGUGAAAUGCUUAGAUAUCACGAAGAACCCCGAUUGCGAAGGCAGCUUACUAAACUGUGACUGACAUUGAUGCUCGAAAGUGUGGGUAUCAAACAGGAUUAGAUACCCUGGUAGUC